rfam:Felis catus isolate Cinnamon breed Abyssinian chromosome E3, whole genome shotgun sequence.
GCCUGGGUGGCUCAGUUGGCCGAGCGUCUGACUUCAGCUCAGGUCAUGAUCUCAUAGUUCGUGAGUUCAAGUCCCACAUCAGGCU